rnacentral:rRNA from 1 species
AUGUUUGCCAGUAGAGCGCGCUUCCGCAAAUACGCCUACACACCUCUCUCCUCCAUUAACCGACAUAUGAGCCCUCUUGAGGUGGACCCACAUGUCAUCGGUGUAACUAUUUACACUCUGAAGGACGCAGACGCAAAUGCGCCGACCUUCAUGAUUCCAGGACCUGGAAUCAUACCAGCCGAUGGUAACCGAUGCAAGUCCAAGAAGGAUUGGCCGGUGCUGCCGGCUGGCGUCAAGUUCGAUCCCACGGAUCAGGAGCUAAUCGAGCACCUUGAGGCCAAAGUGAAUGCUGACAGCACGAGAUCUCACCCUCUCAUCGAUUUGUUCAUACCAACCAUCGACAACGAGCACAGCAUAUGCUACACCCAUCCUGAGAAACUUCCAGGUAUCACACUGAGUAGCCUAAGCAAGCAUUUCUUCCAUCGCAAUUACAGGGCGUUCAAAAGGAGCAUGUGGAUGCGUCGCAAGAUACAGUCGGAGUGCGGCAUGCACGCGAUGUGGCACAAGACCGACAAUACCUUGCUGGUGAAGGUCAACGGCUGGCAGACGGGCAGCAAAAAGGUUCUGGUGCUGCACACCAACAAGAACUUCUACCAGCAGACGACCAACUGGGUGAUGCACUAG